GAUGAAGAACGUAGUGAAAUGCGAUAAGUAGUGUGAAUUGCAGAAUUCAGUGAAUCAUCGAAUCUUUGAACGCACAUUGCGCCCCUUGGUAUUCCAUGGGGCAUGCCUGUUCGAGCGUCAUCUACACCCUCAAGCUCUGCUUGGUGUUGGGCGUCUGUCCCGCCUCUGCGCGCGGACUCGCCCCAAAUUCAUUGGCAGCGGUCCUUGCCUCCUCUCGCGCAGCACAUUGCGCUUCUCGAGGUGCGCGGCCCGCGUCCACGAAGCAACAUUACCGUCUUUGACCUCGGAUCAGGUAGGGAUGCCCGCUGAACUUAAGCAUAUCAAUAAGCGGAGGA
rnacentral:misc_RNA from 1 species